AAUAUAGAAUUAUUUAAAUAAACGGUCAAUCUUUCUCAGUUAUUGCUUGUAAUACUUAUCAUACGAGACAUGUUUAUAUAAAUUUCACCAUUGAUUGAAAAUGUAGUUAGUAUAUUAGAAAAUAUGGAUAGUAUUUCUAGUUCAAAAGAAAAAUACCACGUUUUUUAUUUUGUCCAGUUGCAAGUCCUAACUAUCUGCGAUGAGCAGCUUGCUAUUAUUAAAAUAUAGAUUUUUUUUGCAUUUUUAUGUAUUAUUCUAUGUGUGUUUACAGUAAUAAAGAAGAAUAAAUCAAAACGUAAAAAUUUCUUUUGAAUACUUCUGAACUGACCUAUGUUGUGUUUUAGGCCAUUAUUCGACGAAAGGACGCACAAAACUUGUGGCAAAUCACAUGAUGUGCCAUUUGCGAAAAUACCUCGGUGGCACAUAAGGCAAAGAUAUACUACAAAUCGAAGUAUGUUCUGUCCUAAUCAACGGCGAAUGGGAAAUGGAACAAAAGACCUUUAAAAGCAGUUCCGCUUCACCUGAUCCCACAACGAGCCGACCAUCUCUUGGAACCGGGCCAGUUCUUCCAACAGGUUUUUGAGCGAUAUGACAAUCUUGCUCCAACAGUGCAAUGAGUCUUUGGGUCCUAGGACACACUUUUGGAGAAAACAGGAACUGUUUUGAUGCAGUACUUAUAGUAUAAUAUAUAUCUUAUUUUGUGUUUCCGGCCGCGUAUGUUAAAAGUGAACGUAUUUAUUAAAGUGAAGUGUACGUGUGCGUGAUUGAUGAAUAUCGAGUACUCCACCACCCUACUUAGUUGGGGUAUAAAAUGUCCUAGCUGUUGACUGCACCUGGAGCUUCGAAUAAGUGGCAAGCUGCGGCAAGUCAUAAACUCAAUCCUAUAUGUGUAUUUAUGUAUAAGCAUGUAUAUGAAUUGAUAUUCCAUAAUUAUUUUUUAAGGAGGGUUCGCAACAGCAGAGGCUAUAU
rnacentral:misc_RNA from 1 species